rnacentral:lncRNA from 1 species
UUUUGAACAAAGAAAAGAAACGAUUCAAUCUAUGGUGAAAUGGACUAGAGGAAUCGGUCUAUUCGUAAAGAAAGUCUCUGAGAGUAAAGGAAAAUCUAUUGAUUUAUCAUCAUUUGGAAUUGACUAUGACAACAAUGUGUCUUCUCCAUCUGAGAGAGCUCUUUACGAAACACAAGGAACGUUCUCAUUGCCCCACUACGUGAAGGAUUUUCCAAAAAUGAGCAAAGACUUUGAGCCUUUUGCUUACAAAGGUAUGUCAGGUUUCUUGGGGGCUUUGGAGAGUAAGUGUCCUGCCACAGCAGAGUUCAAAGAUCUCUUUGUAACGGUAGCGGACUACAUGGCCUGCUUCAAGUCAGGUAUCAAGGUCGAAAUGCAAGAAAAAUCAGUGAAACUCUUUAGGGCUAUUUCUGUAUUGGAUGGUACUAACGGCGGAACAUCAGUAAGUUAUAGUCCCAUAUAUUAACAUUCAUAUGGUACCCGGGCAUGUUCCUCGCGGUUUUAUAUUAAAAAAAUUGUGGUAUUUUUGUUUUCUUUUUGGCGAUAGGUGGAUUCUUGGAGGAUGGUCGACGGUAUGUUGUCAAUGGGAAUACUUGUGACUGAGAUGAAGAAGAAUGUUUCUCAGGAGAUAACUUUUGAACAAAGAAAGGAACUGAUAGGGGGUAUGGUGAAA